ACACCGAUGGUGAACUGGCUAUCAUGCUUGCCUUCCAUGGCUGCUGGGCAUCAUCGUUCGAGCAAGCGGCAGAGGUUCGAUUCCUCUUCAGUGUG